ensembl:lncRNA uncharacterized LOC112987964
CUUGCCGCUGUGCUUUCUGUUGCAGGCCAGGCCACAUGGCAGACGGGGAGCUGGAAGAGGCUGCCUGCGAUGGCCAGAGCAAGCGACUCGUGACGUGCAGUAAGGGUCAUGCUGGUCUGGAGCUCAGCCGUGCCAGGCGAUGCUCAGCCCGCAGAAACCCAUGGCAUGGGUGUGCCCAGCUGUUCCAUAAACUUUUAACCAACCAGGCUUUGCUCCUGUGCUGUUGAGGACGGGGUUGUCCCAGCCACUCGGUAGCCAAGCAGUUUGCAGGCCCAGAGUGCAGGAAGUCAGAGCUCCUGCCUCCUGCCUGCUGCCCUCCCCAUCCUGACCCACAGGAAGGUUCAGCCUCUCCUGGGCCCCUCAGCCAGCUAUUAAUUUUGCAGCCCUUCCUUGUCCCAUCUGGGUCUGACCGCACUGCAGUGAUUGAGCUGGGCAGGUCUACAGGCAAGGAGAGACCUGGAGAGGCAACUGCGGAGUGAGGGAAGGACAAGAGGGGAUGSUGGGGCUGGGAGAGGCAAUACUGUCUGACAGGGAAGAAACAACCAGAGAGACUGUGGCUUCCUACUAAAUGCUUUGGACUGACCUGCCUGCACAGCUUUCUGUGAAGAAGUUCAUACAGGCUGCCAGCAGCCACUGGUGCCUUUGCUCAGACCUGCUCUCUGGAGGUGCCCUACAUAUGGAUCAUGCACAUACACAUUAUGUGCACACACUGACCCAGACCCUGUGAGGAGAGACCACCCGAUACAUGCUUUGUGCUGCAGAAGGUCCCCACCUGAAUGAAGCCCAGCAGCUUGCAGACAGCARCAGCAAUGUAGAGAGCCUUCUCUGGCCCAGAGGUGGUCUCCAGUCGGUGCCCCCUCCCCAUUGCCCCAGCUCCCUUUGCAAGGAAGGCUUUAUACCCCCAGUGCUUAAAGACCCAUUAUGCUCUGCGCUGACCAGGCACUCUGCUUUUCUCUUCUCUGCAGACCUGGACACAGAGAAGCAGCCUGGGCUUGUGGGAUCCUGGACAAAGGAGCACUGUGACCASGUGUUGGACUCCAUUGAUGCCCAGCUCAGCCAGAACCGGAAGAACACCCUACGGCCAAGGCUGAAUACCUCCAGGGUGAAGCCAGUCAAAGCAGCUCCAGCUCUGUCUGCACGGAGGACUUUGCUGCCAGGUUUCAGGAGGGUAUGGUUGAGCCUCUGGUGUUCUCCGAGGAUGAGGAAGACGAGCCCUUCUCAGUGGGGAGCAGGCAUGCCAGGGAUGUCCCAGCAGAAGGCAAUGGCAUCUCUUGCCCUGCUGAGGAUCAUGAUGCUGGGCAGGAUGAGUCCUUGCUCUCUACAGGGAGAAGACAGGAUGUCCCAUGGCAGUCGGAGGUGGAGCUGGGCUGUCCAUUGCAGAGCACAUCUCCAUCUCUGACGAGAAGGCAAAGCCUGGAGUCUCUGGGAGGGAGGAUAUCCAGACUGAGCCAGAGCAAUGCUGUGACUGCAGGGAUGGAGCCAGACAGCUUCCCAGCGUGGUGGGCUCCCAUGCCAGCCCCCUCUGAGCAGGUGAGUGUGGGCCAGAAGGACUCUUCCCGCUGGGCUCCAU